rnacentral:rRNA from 1 species
AGCUGGCCUUUCGGGGCAUGUGCACGCCUGGCUCAUCCACUCUUCAACCUCUGUGCACUUGUUGCAGGUCGGUCGAAGGGUCACUGUGUAAACGGUGACUUGGAAGCCUUCCUAUGUUUUACUACAAACGCUUCAGUUUAAGAAUGUAAUCUCUGCGUAUAACGCAUUUAUAUACAACUUUCAGCAACGGAUCUCUUGGCUCUCGCAUCGAUGAAGAACGCAGCGAAAUGCGAUAAGUAAUGUGAAUUGCAGAAUUCAGUGAAUCAUCGAAUCUUUGAACGCACCUUGCGCUCCCUGGUAUUCCGGGGAGCAUGCCUGUUUGAGUGUCAUGGUAUUCUCAACCUUCAUAACUUUUUUGUUAUCGAAGGCUUGGACUUGGAGGCUUGUGCUGGCUUACUCGUUUAAGUCGGCUCCUCUUAAAUGUAUUAGCGUGAGUGUAACGGAUCGCUUCGGUGUGAUAAUUAUCUGCGCCGUGGUCGUGAAGUAACAUAAGCUUGCGCUUCUAACCGUCCUUCAGUUGGACAAUACACUUUGACAUCUGACCUCAAAUCAGGUAGGACUACCCGCUGAACUUAAGCAUAUCAAUAAGCGGAGGA